rnacentral:rRNA from 1 species
CUAUGGCCAUACCAUUCCGAAUAUACCCCAUCUCUUCUGAUCUUGAAAGCUAAGCAGGGUUGAGUCUGAUUAGUACAGGAGAAUGUAAUAACUGGGGUUGGGAAGAUAGCUAAAUGGU